GCAUUUAAUGGAAUAUAUUUGUUAAAUUGUUUGUUUUUAGCGAAUAUAGAAAUAUCGUUAUGCUUGAAUGACUUGUGCAAUUCAGGCAAAUGUC
rnacentral:tRNA from 2 species